UACGAAGGGGGCGAGCGUUGUUCGGAUUUACUGGGCGUAAAGGGCGCGUAGGCGGCGCGAGAAGUCGAGUGUGAAAGCCCCGGGCUCAACCUGGGAAUUGCGCUCGAUACUCUUGUGCUUGAGUUCGGGAGAGGAGCGUGGAAUUCCCAGUGUAGAGGUGAAAUUCGUAGAUAUUGGGAAGAACACCGGUGGCGAAGGCGGCGCUCUGGACCGAGACUGACGCUGAGGCGCGAAAGCGUGGGGAGCAAACAGGAUUAGAUACCCUGGUAGUCCACGCCGUAAACGAUGUGUGCUAGACGUUGGGGAGCCUAGCUCUUCGGUGUCGCAGCAAACGCUUUAAGCACACCGCCUGGGGAGUACGGCCGCAAGGUUAAA
rnacentral:rRNA from 1 species